rnacentral:rRNA from 1 species
CGCAGCUAUCUGCAGUCGAGGGGCAGCGCAGUGUAGCAAUACAUGGGCGGCGACCGGCAAACGGGUGCGGAACACGUACGCAACCUUCCUUCAAGUGGAGCAUAGCUUUCGGAAACGAAAAUUAAUACUCCGUAAUAAUAUUGGGUGGCAUCACUUAAUAUUUAUAGAUCCGUCGCUUGAAGAUGGGCGUGCGCCUGAUUAGGUAGUUGGCGGGGUAAUGGCCCACCAAGCCUACGAUCAGUAACUGGUGUGAGAGCACGACCAGUCACACGGGCACUGAGACACGGGCCCGACUCCUACGGGAGGCAGCAGUAAGGAAUAUUGGUCAAUGGACGCAAGUCUGAACCAGCCAUGCCGCGUGGAGGAUGAAGGUCCUCUGGAUUGUAAACUUCUUUUAUCGGAGAAGAAACCCUCGAAUUCUUUUGGGGUUGACGGUACCCGAUGAAUAAGCACCGGCUAACUCCGUGCCAGCAGCCGCGGUAAUACGGAGGGUGCAAGCGUUAUCCGGAUUCACUGGGUUUAAAGGGUGCGUAGGUGGGCUGGUAAGUCAGUGGUGAAAUCUCCGGGCUUAACUCGGAAACUGCCGUUGAUACUAUCAGUCUUGAAUGUUGUGGAGGUAAGCGGAAUAUGUCAUGUAGCGGUGAAAUGCUUAGAUAUGACAUAGAACACCGAUAGCGAAGGCAGCUUGCUACACAAUAAUUGACACUGAGGCACGAAAGCGUGGGGAUCAAACAGGAUUAGAUACCCUGGUAGUCCACGCCCUAAACGAUGGAUACUCGACAUACGCGAUACACAGUGUGUGUCUGAGCGAAAGCAUUAAGUAUCCCACCUGGGAAGUACGACCGCAAGG